GACGAACGCUGGCGGCGUGCUUAACACAUGCAAGUCGAACGAAGAGCGAUGGAAGCUUGCUUCUAUCAAUCUUAGUGGCGAACGGGUGAGUAACGCGUAAUCAACCUGCCCUUCAGAGGGGGACAACAGUUGGAAACGACUGCUAAUACCGCAUACGAUGUGACCUCGGCAUCGAGGAUAGAUGAAAGGUGGCCUCUAUUUAUAAGCUAUCACUGAAGGAGGGGAUUGCGUCUGAUUAGCUAGUUGGAGGGGUAACGGCCCACCAAGGCGAUGAUCAGUAGCCGGUCUGAGAGGAUGAACGGCCACAUUGGGAGUGAGACACGGCCCAGACUCCUACGGGAGGCAGCAGUGGGGAAUCUUCCGCAAUGGACGAAAGUCUGACGGAGCAACGCCGCGUGAGUGAUGACGGCCUUCGG
rnacentral:rRNA from 1 species